CCCUGGUGGCUCUGAUGGGAAAGAAUUUGCCUGUAAUGCAGGAGACCUGGGUUCAAUCCCUGGAUCAGGAA
rnacentral:tRNA from 1 species